GAUGAAGAACGUAGCGAAAUGCGAUAAGUAAUGUGAAUUGCAGCAUUCAGUGAAUCAUAGAAUCUUUGAACGCACAUUGCGCCCCUUGGUAUUCCGAGGGGCAUGCCUGUUCGAGCGUCAUUAUAACCCCUCAAGCUCAGCUUGGUGUUGGGGCCUGCUGCACUGGCAGCCCUUAAAAUCAGUGGCGGCGCCAUCUGGCUCUAAGCGUAGUAAUUCUUCUCGCUAUGGAGUCCUGGUGGAUGCUUGCCAUCAACCCCCAAUUUUUCUAUGGUUGACCUCGGAUCAGGUAGGGAUACCCGCUGAACUUAAGCAUAUCAAUAAGCGGAGGA
rnacentral:misc_RNA from 1 species